GAUGAAGAACGUAGCGAAAUGCGAUAAGUAAUGUGAAUUGCAGAAUUCAGUGAAUCAUCGAAUCUUUGAACGCACCUUGCGCUCUUUGGUAUUCCGAAGAGCAUGCCUGUUUGAGUGUCAUGAAAAUAUCAACCUUGACUUGGGUUUUGUGCUCUAGUCUCGGCUUGGAAUUGGGUGCUUGCCGCUUUUACGAGCGGCUCACCUUAAAUGUAUUAGCUGGAUCUGUCUUUGAGACUUGGUUUGACUUGGCGUAAUAAGUAUUUCGCUAAGGACAUUCUUCGGAGUGGCCUCGUUUCUAAGACGCUUGUCCGCUUUCCAAUACAAGUUCCACCUCGUGGACAUGACUUUUUAUUAUCUGGCCUCAAAUCAGGUAGGACUACCCGCUGAACUUAAGCAUAUCAAUAAGCGGAGGA
rnacentral:misc_RNA from 1 species